AAGGAUCAUUACAGAGUUCAUGCCCGAAAGGGUAGACCUCCCACCCUUGUGUAUUAUUACUUUGUUGCUUUGGCGAGCUGCCUUCGGGCCUUGUAUGCUCGCCAGAGAAUACCAAAACUCUUUUUAUUAAUGUCGUCUGAGUACUAUAUAAUAGUUAAAACUUUCAACAACGGAUCUCUUGGUUCUGGCAUCGAUGAAGAACGCAGCGAAAUGCGAUAAGUAAUGUGAAUUGCAGAAUUCAGUGAAUCAUCGAAUCUUUGAACGCACAUUGCGCCCCUUGGUAUUCCGGGGGGCAUGCCUGUUCGAGCGUCAUUUCAACCCUCAAGCUUAGCUUGGUAUUGAGUCUAUGUCAGUAAUGGCAGGCUCUAAAAUCAGUGGCGGCGCCGCUGGGUCCUGAACGUAGUAAUUAUCUCUCGUUACAGGUUCUCGGUGUGCUUCUGCCAAAACCCAAAUUUUUCUAUGGUUGACC
rnacentral:rRNA from 1 species